GUAGUCCACGCUGUAAACGAUGUCGAUUUGGAGGUUGUGCCCUUGAGGCGUGGCUUCCGGAGCUAACGCGUUAAAUCGACCGCCUGGGGAGUACGGCCGCAAGGUUAAAACUCAAAUGAAUUGACGGGGGCCCGCACAAGCGGUGGAGCAUGUGGUUUAAUUCGAUGCAACGCGAAGAACCUUACCUGGUCUUGACAUCCACAGAAGUUUCCAGAGAUGGGAAUGUGCCUUCGGGAACUGUGAGACAGGUGCUGCAUGGCUGUCGUCAGCUCGUGUUGUGAAAUGUUGGGUUAAGUCCCGCAACGAGCGCAACCCUUAUCCUUUGUUGCCAGCGGUCCGGCCGGGAACUCAAAGGAGACUGCCAGUGAUAAACUGGAGGAAGGUGGGGAUGACGUCAAGUCAUCAUGGCCCUUACGACCAGGGCUACACACGUGCUACAAUGGCGCAUACAAAGAGAAGCGACCUCGCGAGAGCAAGCGGACCUCAUAAAGUGCGUCGUAGUCCGGAUUGGAGUCUGCAACUCGACUCCAUGAAGUCGGAAUCGCUAGUAAUCGUGGAUCAGAAUGCCACGGUGAAUACGUUCCCGGGCCUUGUACACACCGCCCGUCACACCAUGGGAGUGGGUUGCAAAAGAAGUAGGUAGCUUAACCUUCGGGAGGGCGCUUACCACUUUGUGAUUCAUGACUGGGGUG
rnacentral:rRNA from 1 species